GACUUGACCGCUCUGGUGGCUUUGUAGUUUUAGUGCAUGUCUUGGAUGCAGGAGGUCACAGGUUUGAAUCCUGGCCAAGUCA